CCGUGUCGUGUUCGCGUCGCGGAAGAAUAGGGAAUCAGGUGAAAAUCCUGAACAGACCCGCUGCUGUGAGUUCCAUCAAACGAUUCGCACACAUACUUUUGCCACUGUUCUGAUUUUUUGAAGAAUGGGAAGGCGUGUGAAUCGGGAACGAGUCAGAAGACCUGCCAAAUAUGUU
rnacentral:ncRNA from 1 species